rnacentral:lncRNA from 1 species
ACUUUCAAAUCAGGUGAUCCCAGUUUUCUUGUUUGGGAAUAUGACAACUUCUUCGUCAUUCUAAUGAAACCAGCAUGAACCGGGAUGUAAGAAGCUUGAUAUGGAUACAUAAAGUAGUGGAGAAUCACAAGGAAGUUGAAUAAAUCUCAUAGGAGUUAGGAUGAAGAAGCUAUCCCACUUUCAAAUCAGGUGAUCCCAGUUUUCCUGUUUGGGAAUAUGACAACUUCUUCGUCAUUCUAAUCAAACCAGCAUGAACCGGGAUAUAAGAAGCUUGAUAUGAAUACAUAAAGUAGUGGAGAAUCACCAGGAAGUUUGAAUAAAUCUCAUAUGAGUUAGGAUGAAGAAGCUAUCCCACUUUCAAAUCAGGUGAUCCCAGUUUUCUUGUUUGAGAAUAUGACAACUUCUUCGUCAUUCUUAUCAAACCAGGAUGAACCGCUAU